AGUGGCGUACGGGUGAGUAACACGUGGGUAAUCUACCUCUUUGCGUGGAAUAACCUGGCGAAAGCCGGGCUAAUACCGCAUAAGCCCGAGAGGGGAAACGCGAAAGCGGCUGAGAGAGGAGCCCGCGGCCGAUUAGCUAGUUGGUGGGGUAAAGGCCCACCAAGGCAAAGAUCGGUAGCCGGCCUGAGAGGGCACACGGCCACACUGGCACUGAAACACGGGCCAGACUCCUACGGGAGGCAGCAGUGGGGAAUCUUGCACAAUGGGGGAAACCCUGAUGCAGCGACGCCGCGUGAGCGAUGAAGCCCUUCGGGGUGUAAAGCUCUUUCGGCAGGGAAGAUGAUGACGGUACCUGCAGAAGCAGCUGCGGCUAACUACGUGCCAGCAGCCGCGGUAAUACGUAGGCAGCAAGCGUUGUUCGGAGUUACUGGGCGUAAAGGGUGUGUAGGCGGUUUGGUAAGUCUGGUGUGAAAUCUCCCGGCCCAACUGGGAGGGUGCGCCGGAAACUGCCGGACUCGAGUGCGGGAGAGGAGAGUGGAAUUCCUGGUGUAGCGGUGAAAUGCGUAGAUAUCAGGAGGAACACCGGCGGUGCAGACGGCUCUCUGGACCGUAACUGACGCUGAGACACGAAAGCGUGGGUAGCAAACAGGAUUAGAUACCCUGGUAGUCCACGCCCUAAACGAUGCACAUUUGGUGUGGGUCAUUCAGUUGAUCCGUGCCGGAGCUAACGCGUUAAAUGUGCCGCCUGGGGAGUACAGUCGCAAGGCUGAAACUCAAAGGAAUUGACGGGGGCCCGCACAAGCGGUGGAGCAUGUGGUUCAAUUCGA
rnacentral:rRNA from 1 species